rnacentral:tRNA from 1 species
CUUCGGCCCUCGCGGGCUGCUCGCCGCGCAGCGGCUCUCGGCCGCCGCCGCACCCCUGCGGGGCCGUGGGUUCGAGUACCAGGCCGACGGC